CAGCAGUUGAGGCAGCCGAAAAGUAUCGAGUUGACAGUUCCUGAACCAAAUAAUACUGAUUUAGAAGACACGAAUGAACAGGUGACAAAAACUAUUGAGUAACCCCAUGCUGCUCUAAUGAUGUCAAAAAAAAAGGAGGAGGGUUAGUAAAGUGGAAUCCAUUGGUUCCAAAUUAAAAA